UGAGAUAGCUCAGUCAGUAGAGUGUGAGACUCUUAAUCUCAGGUUUGUGGGUUUGAGCCUCACAUUGGGCGAAA